UACGUAGGGUGCAAGCGUUAAUCGGAAUUACUGGGCGUAAAGCGUGCGCAGGCGGUUAUGCAAGACAGAUGUGAAAUCCCCGGGCUCAACCUGGGAACUGCAUUUGUGACUGCAUAGCUAGAGUACGGUAGAGGGGGAUGGAAUUCCGCGUGUAGCAGUGAAAUGCGUAGAUAUGCGGAGGAACACCGAUGGCGAAGGCAGCCCCCUGGGCUGAGAUUGACGCUCAGGCACGAAAGCGUGGGGAGCAAACAGG
rnacentral:rRNA from 1 species